GAUGAACGCUGGCGGUAUGCUUAACACAUGCAAGUCGAACGGACUCUUCGGAGUUAGUGGCGGACGGGUGAGUAACGCGUGAGAAUCUGGCUUUGGGUUCGGGACAACCACUGGAAACGGUGGCUAAUACCGGAUGUGCCGAGAGGUAAAAGAGAAAUUGCCUGAAGAUGAGCUCGCGUCUGAUUAGCUAGUUGGUGAGGUAAAGGCUCACCAAGGCAGCGAUCAGUAGCUGGUCUGAGAGGAUGACCAGCCACACUGGGACUGAGACACGGCCCAGACUCCUACGGGAGGCAGCGGUGGGGAAUUUUCCGCAAUGGGCGAAAGCCUGACGGAGCAAUACCGCGUGAGAGAAGAAGGCUCUUGGGUUGUAAACCUCUUUUCUUAGGGAAGAACAAAAUGACGGUACCUAAGGAAUCAGCAUCGGCUAACUCCGUG
rnacentral:rRNA from 1 species